GCAGGAACUCCAGCAGCUCCUGCGGCGGCGGCGGCUCCAGCAGCUUCAGCAGCAGCUGGGCAGCAGGACUACAGCGCCGCCUGGGCCGAGUACUACAGGCAGCAGGCCGCCUACUACGGACAGACUGGACAGAGCCAACCGGCCGCCCCGCAGCAGGGACAGCAGGCGCAGUGAAGCCCCGUCUCUCUGUUCGGCGAACGUCACCACCUUCCUCCUCCUCCCCUCGGACUCUGCCCUUCUCUCUCCAGCAUCUCCACCCCCCUGCCCAGAACCUGGAGCCAAGCAGUUUAGUUUUGCUUUACUCCUUUUAUGUCUGAGGGAAAGAAAGAAAAUCCUCCUUCACAUUGUCCUUUUUUUUUUUUUUUUUUUUUUUUUUUAAACAGACCCUCAAACUCCAACCACCCUAACUAAUGUGAGAACUGUAAAAGACAGCAAAAUCAGUUUUUUUUGUUUGUUUUGCAUUUGAUUUUCCUUUUAGUCUCUCUUUCUCUGGGGUGAAAGAACUUUGGGGGUUGUGGUCUUGAUCAAAAUAUGCCAUCGCUUCAAAAAGGGAACUUUCUGGAAAAAGGAAAAAAAAAAAGAAAAAAAAAAAAAUCUGCAUCGCUGAUCACCAGCCCUCCUCAGUCCAGCCCUAGAGUAUUCUGGAGGUCACCGUAACCAUCCUAUUCUAGAACUCCCCUGGCCUGGCCAUAACAUUCUAUGCUAGAACCUUCUGGAAUUCUGCAUCACUGGCUAACUCCUUCCCCUCCCCCCUCUAACUGAACUUUCUGGAAAUCAACAACCCUCGCCCUCACGCCCCUUCUGGCUGUUGUAAUUAUUCCCGUUUCCUUCUUGACUGUUGUAAAAUGACUUCCUUUCUCUCCAUUAUCUUCAUGUUUGAAUUAACAACCGUUUCACCCCCUCCAGUAGUCCAUUUUGAGCACUCAUCAGUCUGAUUCUACUACUGCAUAGAACAAAUUCUGCUCCUUUGUACAAAAUGUUUCUGUCUUUUUUGUUUUUAUAAUAAGUGAAUUUUGAUUUUCAUAUGCUUUUAGUUGUUUUAUUUUGUUUUUAAAUGAAAUGAAAUCUCUAGUUUUGAGUUGGAACAUUCCUAGUGUUGAAGUACUUCUCAUUUUCUCCCUGUGUCUUUUUCUUUUUCACAAAUAAGAGUGUGGGCUUGUCUAUUGCAAUACACUUUGUGUGUGGUGUGUGUGUGUGUGUGUGUGUCUCUGUCUGUCUGUCUGUGUACACAGUAGCGGGGUGAAGGAGAUUGUGUACACUGAAUCGUGUAUGUAUGAAUGGAAGUGAGCAUUGACUUGGUGUCCUACAGUGUACAUAUUAGUCUGAAACAUUGGUGUGUGUGAGGGACUGUAACUGUACGAUGUGACUGACUGAUUAAACUGAGUGUGUGCUUGCAUGUACACAACGUUGAAGAGCAAAACAAUGUUGUACACUGUACACAAGUGUGUGUGUGUGUGUGUGUGUGUGUGUGUGUGUGUCUGUAAUUUUGCUUGCUAAAAAUGUCCUGUUGUGUGAUUGUGUGUGUGCAUAAUGUUGCAUGCACAGGAUGGUCUAAGGUGUGUGUGUGUGUGUGUGUGUGUGUGAUGGUACGUAAAAGAAGCCCUUCUGUCCUGCAGUGUCGAUUCCCUCCUUUCUUUACAAGCGGAUGUCUCAUUUGACCUUUUUAUGUUUUUGCCCCUUUUUCCCCCUUGAGUUCCAAGAAGUCAUGCUGUUAUAUAAAUAUAUAUAUAUAUUGUACGCUUGGUUUUUUACUUUUUACUGCUUGUUUUUAAGAACUUCACAAUAAAAGAGGAUAUACAGACUUCUCAUCAGA